AUGAACGCUGGCGGCGUGCCUAAUACAUGCAAGUCGAGCGAACAGACGAGGAGCUUGCUCCUCUGACGUUAGCGGCGGACUGGUGAGUAACACGUGGAUAACCUACCUAUAAGACUGGGAUAACUUCGGGAAACCGGAGCUAAUACCGGAUAAUAUAUUGAACCGCAUGGUUCAAUAGUGAAAGACGGUUUUGCUGUCACUUAUAGAUGGAUCCGCGCCGCAUUAGCUAGUUGGUAAGGUAACGGCUUACCAAGGCGACGAUGCGUAGCCGACCUGAGAGGGUGAUCGGCCACACUGGAACUGAGACACGGUCCAGACUCCUACGGGAGGCAGCAGUAGGGAAUCUUCCGCAAUGGGCGAAAGCCUGACGGAGCAACGCCGCGUGAGUGAUGAAGGUCUUCGGAUCGUAAAACUCUGUUAUUAGGGAAGAACAAAUGUGUAAGUAACUAUGCACGUCUUGACGGUACCUAAUCAGAAAGCCACGGCUAACUACGUG
rnacentral:rRNA from 1 species